AGGAGACCAAAGUCCCUGCAGUACCCAUA
rnacentral:piRNA from 1 species